AACACAAAAAAAGAUUUUGUUUAUCUACAUGUCAUGUGAUCAUGUGAGUGCAUCACAGUUUCAGAAUGGACAUCGAUAUGUAAUCAAUGUUAAAAUCUGAUUCAGACAAAUCUAAAUGCCUUUAAUUGUAAUAAAUUUAAAUGCAGAGCUGAGUUUUGGGGCCGUUCAGACGGGACUGUGAUCCACUUGGCUGGGCACUUCUCUGUGUGGGGUCAGAGCACAACUGUGGAGUUGUCCACAAGCGAAGGACGCUGUCACUAUCAUCAGAGGCGCGUGUGUUGUGUUUGUGUGGGCCCUGAUCGCCACGCGACAAAAGGCCAGAGAAAAUUACAACAUUUGAAGUGUUUCCGACACCUCAACACUGUCUGCGGCGGGAAAUAUGUAAAUACGCUUCUAAUCAAACGAUCUGGAAUUGCAAAUGCCACAGCGAGGUCGCGACCCCGAGCCUUGCUAAUGGAGGGUUUAGGGCACCGGCGGAGCAGGUUGGAGUGACGGGUACCGCGGGGUUGAGAGCGGAGAGCGGACCCCUGGCGGACGACCUCUGCCUGCAGGCCCCUCACUAUGCUGACAGUAAUGAAUGGAGAGAGCUGUUUAUGCAUAUCAACGAUUAUUUACAGGCAAACAGCUGAGGGAGAGCGAGCGCUAGUCAUCAGGGAACACAGACGCACGCUUCUGUUUGCCGUUGUCAAAUGUGAGGCGGGAAGCCAAAUGAAGUUUUCUGUGAGGUCAUCUUAAAGCUGGAAGCAUGCAACAGACUUCCCACAGUGCCCUUGAACUGUUGUUCUCAAAGAGUGUUACAAGGACAAUGGUUCAAUCACUUCAACACAAACAAUGCUUCAACCUUCUACACACUCAUGGGAAAUGGGCAGAGCCAAUGAUGACGGACAGUCCAAUCUUCAAACCAGACACCUUUAAGAAGGACAUGACUCUGGCCCACUAGCUUUGGCCCAGCCAGAGCUGAAGAGACUUCUUUAUAGGCACAGCCCGCAGUAUUGGCAACUAAGAUAGGAAGAGUCGACUCUACUAGACCAAGUGGAGUGGAAUUCGUGAUUAGGCCUCUUCCCAUGUGUCGACUUUAUAAUGAACGGGAAAAGAAGGAAGGCUUUCUAAACAAACAGCGACGUUAACAAUAACCAGACGGAGGAAUGCAGCGCGAACGCCGGCGUGUCAGAUCGGCUGAACGUCAGUACGUUAUGACCCGGCUCACUGGCAACGUCAGUCAGAUGUGGAGCUAACAGACACGGAUCAUAGAUGGUCCUGCCAGCUACAGAAGACCACGAGUUUCACCGCUCGCUCUGCUACAGGGCUCAGGGAGUAGAUACCGUUACAGGGGCAUAUGUUCUUUGGCAGCCCAGUCAUCUCAGACACUCACCCUCUCUCUUGUUGACUCAGCCAGCUGGUGGUUGAAGAGAUGGGCAGCGAGCUGAUUAGAAUGACAGGCGUCCCGCUCCGUGAAAGGCAGGCUGAGAGACCGGAGCUACACACACACACACACACACACACACACACACACACACACACACGCAUAUAACACAGAAUGAGCAAAAGAGGGAGACAUAGAGGAUGAGAGCAGAAAAGGAGGGGGUGAAAAAGGCCUCAAAUAUACUACACAUAUACACAUCUUAACAGCGGGUCAGCCAGAGAAAAAGAGAGACAGACGCAGACAGACAGAGCCGAGUCCUCAUUUGCCCCUUUUUGUGAAGAUUAGACAUGACGGCUUUCAAAGACACAGAUAUUUUAUGUGGUCCUGUGUUUGGUAUUAUAAACUCUCCUAGACAUAAAAGAAGCAAAUGUUAAAGGGACUGCGCACUCAAAAAUGAUUUUUCAUUUUUUAUUCUGCAAAAUAAAAGACACUGAAGGUUAAAAGAGGUUUUAAAAAGAACCAAAAAAGUGUCAGUAUGAUUAAUUCGGGUGAUUCUCGCGAAAUUAGACUUAUGAGGUGUCAUCAAACAAAAGUAAAUGCAAAGUAAGUGUAUCAAAAUAAGAAGCAUACCGUUACAAACAUCUCUUCAUGUACUAUUUUACACAUGAUUUCAAAUUACAUCAUACAAACCAAUUUUGUAGUUUUUUCCACAUUUAAGGGGAACAUUUUCUUUGACAUGGAAAUAUUUAUAAUUAAAAAAUCUAAAAAUAAAAAGCUUCAGUGCAUGUUAUACUAUAAACAUUUACAGUAAAGAAACAUGUGGUAGGUGAUCAUUGGUAAAUUUAGAGACAAUAAUAAGGAAUAUAAAUGUGUCCAAGAAAAAUCCUCAUCCUCCGCAACAAUUUUCAAUCAUUGUUUAAGCCCUAAAGGAACUAACAUUUAAAAAAAAAUGUUGGAAGGGACAUGAUUGACUGUGACACUCAAGAUGGCUACCAGUUAAGCAGUUCUUAUUUUUUUUUGCCAGAUAAAAGUUGAAAUUUUGUUUGUCAUAGUACCUAGACAACUUUUUAGUUCUCAUUACCGAAACAUGAGUUUGUAAAUGCAUAUAUUUAAUGUAAUAUCAUGUUGCUGUAAUGAUAAUUUUUGAUAAUGAUAAUCUAAAAAAAUGUAAAUUUUAUAGGAAAUAUUUUUUAAAUCCUCUAAAAAAUGGUUAUAGUAAUUUCAGAUGUUAAUCUUAUAUGUGCAAAAAAAAUUUGCUUCAAUGAUGCUGAACACCUUUUAAGUCUGGAUUUCGUGAGAAUCACCCAUUCGCUAUUUCUCAAAGACGGAAUAGAUUUGUGGUAGUAUAGACUAAAACCUGUUCUUCUUCAUGUGGUCGUAAGUGAAAUACCAAUAUCUGAUUCAACUAAUUUUUGGAUUUAUGUCAGUUCUUUUUAUUGAAUCCAUUAAUUCAGUUCACAAAUCCGUUCUGAUUGAUUUAUAAACAAAUCGAGUUGAUUCAGUUCUAGUGAUUCAUUGAUUCUCAUAGAUUCAGUGAUCCAAUCGCAGCAGUUUACUGUAGGGAGUGUUUUAGCUGCUGUGAUAAUUAUUUGUUAGUAAUUAAUUCAAUUGCUUGGAAAAGGACAACCAGUACAAUUGUUUCAUUCCUUUUUGUUUGUUCCUCAGAAGAAAAUAGCCACACAUGAUUGUAACGACCUGAGAAUCAAUAAUUAAUGAACAAAAAUCUUAAAUGAAAAACCCAUUAAAGCUUAGCCCGAUCAACAAUAAAGUGUAUACUUCCCGCAAUGUAUUGUCAGCAAAUAUUGCCCAAUAAAUUUACACCAAAGUAAGCCAUUUGGGUCAACUAAAAGCCGUCCCGUUCUCUCUUCGCUCUGAUAAUAGGUGUGGUAAUUGAUCCCGCAUCAGGUUAUUGAUGUCUGGAUCAAUUAGCCUUAAACUGGCUGUAUUCGAGGUAUUCAUUUUAGGAAACAAUCUGCCUUUAUAAUACUGCACAUUAAUCAUUAGUAAAUGCCACUUAACACAAGGUUAAUUACACUCUUAACGACUCCCAUAUCCAUUUUGAAGCUGAGAGCUCUUGUAUGUGUAAUUUGCUCGUCAUAAUCUCAAGCAUAGUACAUUUUAAGUGGCUGAUUGAUGGAUAGGAAAUAAAAUCUGCCCAUCGUUUUAAAAGAUAAUAGAACACCUUACAUAAAGAGGUCAGAUGCCAAAACCGACAGCAGGUAGAGCGAGGAACUUCACGUUCAAGUUAAAAUUGAACUUUUAAUGUUUCAGUUUAAGAAAUGUCAUAGGUUCAGUCGAAACCAAUUGGUGCAAAAAAACUCCUUAUCAGUGCAGAUUCAUCAAAAUCAAACCUUUUAAAUGUAUUAAUAAAAUGACUUUUAUUAAUUAUAGUACUAUACUUUAAUAGCCUAAAUGUAGGCGGACUACGAUUGCAAAGCAAUUUGCCAUAUUAACAUACAUGCAGUCACACACAUCUAUCAAAGCAUCGAACAUGACUCAUCCAAUGAGAAAUAAGAGUCCUUUUACAAUAUGUAAUGUAAAAUGUUUAUUCCAGAUUCAGUAAGGUCACGGCUCAAAAAAACAUCGCCCACAUCUGACUGGUAAUGCGAAGAUUUAUUCGCUCUCGUCAUUGACCGGGGCAUCGUUUCAGCUCGCCCAACUUCUCUUGCUUUCAAAUGAAAACUAUUGAUUUAAAGUCAGCUUGCCGCGGAUUUCAUUUGUUUGGAAGCGCGAGAGCUGUUAAUUCCGGGUAAUAUCGCCAUAAACAGGAAAUGCCACCUAUCUGUGCGUGUUGUAACCUUGUUUCACUACUGUUCCCGGGAUGCUAAUGGCAGCGGAGAGUUAAUCUGAAAAAUAUGUCCAUGAAUCAAAAGCAGAUUGAUCGGCUCCUUCAUUCGUGCAACACAUUACAAGGGCACGCGGAGUCCGUAUACGUUUCACUACCAGAUUAACUACCUUUUAAAAAGGUGGAACCGCAGCGCAUUUCUCCAGGGUAAACUUUAAAGAAUAGCAAAGGGACAGAUUAAUUCUGGUAACCUUGAUAUUCUGUAUACAGAAUAGUGUACAUACAUGCCACACAAAAAUACACUUACAGUGCAGCACAUUUCUGGAAUUUACAAGCCCCCCGACACGUGCACACAUCCACCCCCUCUCUCCUUCACACACACGAAAACGCACACAAUCCAGGCCUGCGUUCACACCUUGCACGUUUUCAUUAUGCGAGGCUAAGUGGGCGGUACGCCCAUCCUCCCCCCGUGCUCUCUUGCCAUCUUUAUAUGAUAUUUUGGGUAAUAAUCACUGCUAUCAGGCCAUCCUCUCUCUCUUUGUUUCAUUUCCUGUUCGUCGGCAGGCUCGCCGCCUCUCUCCGCUCAUCCCUCUUCUCAGCUUUGUGUAGCGCGGGCCUUCACAAUAGAGAGGCGAGGCAGAGGAGGCGUUCGGCUGGCACAGCGUGUCAUUAACUCUUUACUGUUGCCGGCGAACCAGACAGCAAUCUGACUUACCGCACACGAUUAUACCAGGCCUUUCUCCGUAGCCUAACAGUAUUUAUUAACGUGUCCCUCCCUGUCACCUAUCAACAGGUACUUAAAGGCCCUUCACCUCGCGGUGCACUUAGCGUCGAGGAGAACACCUGUGUUAAUGUGUCACUCCCAAGCUAUUUCUGUGAGUUAAAAGGCAGCUAUUGUGCCGAAUGAUAACGCACGAGCCAUAACAAUGGAGAAAAGCAGGUGUACGAGCGGUUGCUAUGAUAGACUUACAAAACUGGUUAAAGUAAGAUGUAAUAGAUAAUUGCUUCAUUUACUGUAUUUAAGCUGUGUUUUGAAUUGCAAGAUCAAGUGAAACCGCUGGUGCCAAAUGUAACAGUUUUGUGAGUGUUGUAAAUGUUAUUAUUAUACUGUAUGGAAAGAAUAACGUCAGCUGAUCAUUAUCGUGAUAUUAAAUUUGAAGGGGAGGGGCAGAGAUGUCUUGUAUCAUCCUGAUGGAGGUAGCUUUAAUGACCGCCUGAAUGUACAUACGCUUUACUGAAAUUUAUACCGCUUGUUACCUGGUUUAACAAGUAAAUCAAUAAAUUGACAUAUUGAAUGGAGUUAAAAUUAUUUUAUUAAAUGCAAAAAAAUGUAAUUGUAUAAUGAGAGAAAAAAAUAACACAGUUAAAAAACAAUUUUGUGGUCAUUAUCUAAAAAAAAUUGACCAGCAAUCAGGAUUGCAAGGUUCAGUUUCAUCAGCACUUAUAUUAAAAAGUGUUAUUACAGGGCUUGUUGGAAUGCUUGAAUCUGAUUGGCCAGUCGUGACAUUUGCAGGUUUGUUAUUCUCAGAUACUUACAAUACUUACAAAAUUUAAUUAACUUACAAAUGAUUAAACGAAAUAGUGUGUUCGUGACAUUUGAACAUCUUGUCUUAUCUUAAACCAAAAGUAAGCAGGUUUUCCUUUCAUUCGUUAAAAAUGAGCUUAUCAAAUAUUUCAAAUAAUAUUGAAUGUUCCUUACCUUACUUGUGACGUAAAUAGCCGUGUAAUAAGCAGGAUAAUGUACAGGCAACCGGUUGUUAUCGUAAAAUAAUUAUUAUUUCUGCGAUAACAACCUGCUG